AUGAAAGAGGAGUGCCAGACUAUUCCUGCCGGUAGGGCUUAUGGCGACAUUAGUGGAGCGAAGACGACACUUGCACCAUGGGGAACGUCAGUGCUUGAUAACCUCCCCCAUGAUCUUAUCCAUUCUAAAAAUCAAGCUUUACAUUGGGAAGAAGUAUGGGUUGAGAAGCAGCUUGACAGGGAUGCUCCUGUGGAGUUGUACCGACCAUUACAAGAUCGAUUAAUUAAACUUUGCAUUGAGAUAUUGGCUGAGGAUAUCAAUGGCUCGGUAAAUAGACUGACAUCAGUUGCAAGGAGUAUUUUAUCUAAAGUGUUCCCUAAGCCUCAGCAGUGUUGGCUACCAACUGGCUGUUUGAAACUUAUGGAGGCUUUACAUAGUUCCCUGCCAAAAAUGUCGUUGAUUGCUUCAGAUUUUAGUUACCUACCUGAAGUGAGGAUACCUGGUGUGAGGGCUCCGCUUGUCUCAGCAAAGGUUCAUGGCCACAGCGUAGAUUAUGAGAGUUACCUGGAUGCAAAGGGUGAUGCUGAUAUCUUUUCCCAACGGACUUCUGGCUUUUAGAGCGCAUUGAUCACUAUUGCUCCGGUGGGAUGCAACCAUGUCAAAAGAAUGCAGCCAAGGGCAGGAAGAAGAGACGAACUAUUACACUUGAUACAUCUGCUUUCAUGGAAGAAUUCUUCGCUCUGAAAUAAAUGAAACUGUUCUCUCAAAAAACUCUCAUAUAAAAGAAAGAAGCGUUUCAUUUAUUCCAUAACGGAGGAAGUAUCUAAACGAAUGGUUGAAAGAUAAUUAAAGAAAUAAUGAAGGAAAGAAGUAGUUGGCAAGUUGCUUUUUUAGAAGCAGGAGAUUCAAAGGGUUACUUUCUUAUAUGAUGUUAGUAGGAAAUAUUAUUGUCGUAAGUUAUGUUUUCUUUUAAAAUAGACAAAUAAACAAGUGUUAUGUUACUAGACAACUUAUCUUGAAAGACCAGAUGCACAUUUCUUGUAAGAUGAGUGGAAAUUGAUUCAGACUUAAAUGUCAGAACUUUUACCGAAUCACAACGAUUAACUCUAAUAAAUGGCUGCAUAGACCACAAGGAUUAGUGGGAGUUAAACUGGAGAUUAAUACUGCCAAAUAAACAGAAGAUAAGACAAGGUUAAUAGUUAAUACCGCCGAGAAGGUAAGAGGAGAUAGGACCCUCUGAUUUCUGACAAGUCAACGUCCCCUCUUUGGCCAGAAAUGUUGUACGAGAUCCGUUGACCUUCCAAGGUCUAUCUUAUACCAGUGAUAUGCCUGGAGUUUUUGCUCCAAUUUUGACAUUAAUAUGCAUCCCUACAUCAAUUGUCUUUUGCAAUCUUCUGUUUUUCUGUCUCUCUCUCUUCUGUGGCCAUUUCAUGUUUGUCUUGUACGAAUAAUUAUUAAUUCAAAUAUUGUGUUUAUUAACUAGGAUAUGAAAUUAUUUUGCUCCAAUUUUGAGUCACACAUUGGACAUUGCAUCGUUUGGAGCUGAAACCUAGAGAGUUCAUGUGCAUUGUUGAUAAGUUGUAAGCGUAACAACUUGGAAAUUAAACUUAUUACUUGUACUUCCUCCGUUUCUUUUUACUUGCAACGGUUUGACUUUUACACUAUUCACCAACUCUA